CGUCUCCACAUCGCCACACUCAAUCACAAUAUGCCCUGCCAUCACAAAGAGCCCGUCAACACCGUUGCCCAUGCCCCAACCGCAGACCAGGUCAAGUGCCCCAACUGUGACUGUAUCGUACUGCAAAUCGACUACCAGGACCACCGCCGGACAGGCUGUGAUCCCCGAUACAACGUCUAGUUCCGUCUAGUUCCGUCUGGUUCCCUGCAGAUGUAGCCCGACUCCCUACACCACCCUCCUCCAUGUCACUGGUGUUACCGUUUUGCAUUAUUUAUUCGCAUGCUAACCGUCAAUGUUUACUGGGCCAACCGUGCGACAUUGAGCAGCUGCCCACACCAACUCAAGGUGAAGGUGAAGCCAUGGCUCCUCGGCCUUGCUGGCUACAGUACGCUCUCAUAUUCGCACAGUACUACUUUGCUGCUGCCCAUGCCUAUGACAUCAUCCCGCUUCUGGCAAACACACCAUUGUUUAGUGCAGUUGACCUGCACGGCCCCUGUUAAACAUGCUAUUUAUUCAAUCUAUUUAUUUCCAGAGUGCA
rnacentral:misc_RNA from 1 species